GAGGCUGUCACUGGCUCGGCCAGCAUUUAUUGCUGCGUUUACCCAGAGGGCAGUUAAGAGUCAACUGCGUUGCUAUAGGUCUGGAGUCCCAUGCAGACCAGACCAGAUACCAGUGAUCAGUGCCAAAGCCCCAUUGCCUGUGGAGAAGGUGAUGUUUGACUUCCUAUACAGCUGCAAUUCAUGUGGUGAAGGUGCUCCCACAAUGUGGUUGGUGUGCUAGACGGUGAAGAUUUGCAGACUGAAAUCUCAAACUCAUAUGCAGAUCCUGAUUAUGUUAACCAGCAUUUGAAGAACCAAAGAUAGAGAAUAACUUGGCCAAAAUUCUGCAACACUCUCGCUCACAGCAUUGUCGGUCUAUCUGCACCAAAUGGACUGCGAAUGAUUCAAGACAGCAGCUCACUACCAUCUUCUCAAGGGUAACUAGAGAUAGGGAAUAAAUGCUGGCCGAGCCAGUGAUGCCCAUAUUCUGGAAAUGGUUCCUAUCUCUAGUUGCUGAAACCCAGUUGAUGUUAGUGCAGGAUGAUGAGGGACGCUGAGUGCAUCCUCCAGAAGGCAUCGCCAUCACAUUACCCCUUCCUACACCCACACAGUAACACAGCAACGUUACUGGAACAAAAGGCAGUGAACCCAAAGGAGGACUUAGAUAUAGUUCUUCGAGGUAAAGUCAUGAAAGGGGAUUGGAACACAGCAGGAACAGGAGACUGAGCUGGAUGGUCAGCUGUUUCCCAUUGAAAGGUGGAGCAGGAUUGAAAGGCCGAAUGGCCGCCUCCUGCUGCUAUAUCCCAGGUAUGUAUAUAGCCACGGAGCCCGGGUAGGAAGGAGUGGGCAGGGAUUCUCCAGGAGAUUGCACUUCCACAUCAGUUUUCAGUGAGAGAUGGUAUGAUGGAUUUUAUUCAACAUUUAUCUUUAACACAAGGUUUGUGAGUUUAG